rnacentral:lncRNA from 1 species
UCCACCUCCAUCUAUUUAAUAUAGCCUUGGCCAUAGUUUGGGCAUCUUCUCUUUCCAAGGCAAUCUGGCAAGAUGUAUCUUAACUGUCUACAUGAAUAACAUAUCCCCUUAUUUCUUCCAACCAUUGAAGAAUUCUAAUAGAACAACAACAAAAAACUACAUCACAAUAAUGUCCGAAUUGGCAAGUUAGAAUAAACCCAAAUGUAAAUGAAACAAUUUUCUCCAAUGGACAUAUAACUGUGGCUCGAAUUUUCUUUAGGAAAUAAACCACAUUUAAAGGUUACUAUGGGUGGAAUUUGCAUAAAGAAAAGCACGAAGAUACUUCCGCAGUGACUCUUCCUCCGAAAAACUAAUUCGAUUAAAGAACGAAAAAACACUUCCAUCGUAACAGUACCAAAACCCACCCCAAGAUGAAGAUCUUUACAAAUAAAGGGACAUUUUGAAAACACACAUUUCCCAAUUGUACAGUCGUCGGAUGUGAAUCAACUGUCCAAAUAUAUAAGCUACUCAUUUUAAAAAACCCAAAUCGAACAUCUAUAAAUACAGCACCUCCCAAAAAUAUUUCUAGUCAUUUAAAAAACAUACAUUUUUUGUGGUUGAUACUGAUUUAAAAACCCCAAAAUGAAGAUCUAUAAAUAAAGCACCCAAAAAAAAGUUUCCAGUCAUUUCAAAAACAUAUCGAACAUGGUGUCACCAGAUGUAGUUUAUCAACAUAGUCACCAGACCUGGAGUCGUCAGAUGUGGCUUUGCAACCGAGAGGCCUCUAAUAUAGGAUAAAGUGUGUGAGGAGAAAGAGGAGAGAGAUUAUCUAACUUUAGGAUGGGUUUUGGUUUAGAUAGGGUCUGAAUUUG